AAAAACAAAAGAGAAAGCUGGGAGAGCGUGGCUAGGACACAGUGAAGGUGUGCCAGAUGGAGCAGCCAACGAGAAUAAAGGUCCAUGGCAAGAGGAGAGAAAUCAGAUGGUGUCUCAGCGCUCACAUCAGCUUUCAGCCACCACGAUCAAGAAGGCAGGUGCAGGUCAAAGAGGCAUUAACAGGCACCACAGAAGCAGGGCCAAUCCCUAGCAAAAUCAUAAAUUAUGUUGUAGCGAGAACACCUUUCCAUCUUUCUGGAGAAAGCCCCUCUUUCACCUCACACCACUUCUUGUAACCCUAGGUUUCCCCAAAACCCUUGAUUUGCUCAAGAGAUCUCAUCACUGCUCUCCACCAGGUUCCCCACCUCCAGAUAAGGAAGAAGCUCUCCUGUGUGUAGGCUCAUCCCCUCACUGCUCGAAUCUCAAACUGCUCAGGAAACCGGUCAGUGCACUAUAGGAGUGACUUCAUGCGGUUUCUCAAACUUUCUUUGCAUCUCCUGGUAAAUAAUGCAAGCUAAGAUCCGUGAUGCGAAUUCCUUGCUGGACUCCUCAUCGUAACUGGCAUUCUGAAGACCUGUGUGGAAUGGAGAAAAGCGCUUUAGAACCCAGGCAGCACCAUGUGUUCCUAUCUUUGUGAAACAGACAGGCUUCAGAAGGCAGAGAUGUACCUGUAUUUACCCAGAGAGACCUAGCACAGGCUUUGGCAAAAAAAAAAAAAAAAAAGAUACCCAAUUUGCAUGAGCCUCUUAGAUUAUCCAAGACACCCUAUUUCUGGUUGGGAGUAUGAAGUAUGAUCUCCUGAACUUUUGCCUUAUCCUCCCUUUCCCCAGACCCUGGACUGCUCUCAGAAGUUAUGCUGGAAACACAUACACAUCAAAGACUCGACCAGGGCUAAGACAACCCUGCCCAGCCCCAAGGGCUGCUGGUUUACCUUUUGUGAGAGAAGUAAAAGGAUAUUAAAAAUGCUUCUUCUCUUUUCUCUUCUUCCAGAGUGGUGAGAUUUUAAAACUGAACAGGUUUAUGUUUUAAGGAUUUGGUGGGGUCUGAAAAGAGUAGAAAUAACAGUCAGUAAGAAAUACCUGGGUGAUCAGACCUGGUAGGUUAACGUUUAUCCUUGAGAGAUGUAGGGGAUACGUGAGGACUCUACACUGUCGUGUGAUGAAAAAGGCAAGAUCUGGGAACAAAAAGUACUAAUGAUGAAUAAAGACAAGGUACUUGGCCCGAGCA
rnacentral:lncRNA from 1 species